UCUCGUUCUCCCCGAAAUAGCUUUAGGGCUAGCGUCGCGCGUUCACCGCCGGAGGUAGAGCACCGGAUGGACGAGGGGGCUUCGCCGCCUACCGAAUCCAACCGAACUCCGAAUGCCGGCGGCCCAGAGCGCGGCAGUCAGAGCAUGUGGGCUAAGCUGUGUGCUCGAGAGGGAAACAGCCCGGACCGCCCGCUAAGGUCCCCAAGUUCCAGCCGAGUGGCAAAGGAUGUGCGUCCGCCCAGACAACCAGGAUGUUGGCUUAGAAGCAGCCAUCCAUUCAAAGAGUGCGUAACAGCUCACUGGUCGAGUGGACAUGCGCCGACAAUACACGGGGCUAAGCUGGACACCGAAGCGGCGGGAUUUUAAUUCAUUAGAAUCGGUAGGGGAGCUUCCCAUGGGCGGAGAAGCCGGAGGGCGACCGACGGUGGAGCGCAUGGGAGUGAGAAUGCUGGCAUGAGUAGCGAGAGACGAGAGAGUAACUCGUCCGCCGUGAACCCGAGGUUUCCUGGGCAAGGCUAAUCCUCCCAGGGUCAGUCGGGGGCUAAGGCGAGGCCGGGAGGCGUAGCCGACGCGCAGCAGGCAGACAUUCCUGCACCGCGCACGCGGCGCUACGACCGACGGGGCGACGGAUGGGGGUGGCUCGGCGGGGUUCUGGACGUCCCCGUGAUGGAGCGCGGCCCGCGGACCAGGGAAAUCCGGUCCGCAUUGAGGGCGAGGCUCCGGACGAAGCGACUGAGCGAAGCGAGUGAGCCCGAGGUCCCUAGAAAAACCCCUAGGCAGGCGCGUGCGCGCCCGUACCGCAAACCGACACAGGUGGGUGGGUAGAACAUACCGAGGCGAUCGGGUCAACCAUGGUCAAGGAACUCGGCACAAUGGCCCCGUAACUUCGGGAGAAGGGGUGCCCGCGCGUACGUGAACCGGCUUGCCCGGGGAGCGGAGGCGGGCCGCAGUGGAGAGGCCCAAGCGACUGUUUACCAAAAACACAGGACUCUGCAGAAGCCGCAAGGCGACGUAUAGGGUCUGACGCCUGCCCGGUGCCGGAAGGUCACGCGGAGGAGUUAGCCGAUUCGGCGAAGCCCCGAAGCCAAGCCCCGGUAAACGGCGGCCGUAACUAUAACGGUCCUAAGGUAGCGAAAUUCCUUGUCGGGUAAGUUCCGACCUGCACGAAAGGCGCAACGACUUGGGCGCUGUCUCGACCAUGGACCCGGUGAAAUUGCACUGGUCGUGAAGAUGCGACUUACCCGCGGAAGGACGGAAAGACCCCGUGAACCUUCACUGCAGCUUGGCAUUGGCCGCUGGUCCCGCGUGUAGAGGAUAGGCAGGAGGCAUCGAUCCGGAGGCGCCAGCCCCCGGGGAGCCGCCCUUGGAAUACUGCCCUCGCGCGACCGGCGUCCUAACCCGAGGCCGUCAACCGGCUCGGGGACCGUGCCAGGUGGGCAGUUUGACUGGGGCGGUCGCCUCCUAAAGGGUAACGGAGGCGCGCGAAGGUCCGCUCGGGACGGUCGGCAACCGUCCUUUUGAAUGCAAGAGUACAAGCGGGCUUGACUGCGAGGCCCACAAGCCGAGCAGGUGCGAAAGCAGGCUCUAGUGAUCCGGCGGCCCCGAGUGGGUG
rnacentral:rRNA from 1 species